UGGAAAACGGGUGGUAAUGCCGGAUGUUCCACAUGAGCGCAUGCGAGUGUGGGAAAGGCUUUUUGCGGCAUGGGAUGGGGUCGCGUCCUAUCAGCUUGUUGGUGGGGUAACGGCCUACCAAGGCGUUGACGGGUAGCCGGCCUGAGAGGGCGACCGGCCACAUUGGGACUGAGAUACGGCCCAGACUCCUACGGGAGGCAGCAGUGGGGAAUAUUGCACAAUGGGCGCAAGCCUGAUGCAGCGACGCCGCGUGCGGGAUGGAGGCCUUCGGGUUGUAAACCGCUUUUGUUCAAGGGCAAGGCACGGUCUUUGGCCGUGUUGAGUGGAUUGUUCGAAUAAGCACCGGCUAACUACGUGCCAGCAGCCGCGGUAAUACGUAGGGUGCAAGCGUUAUCCGGAUUUAUUGGGCGUAAAGGGCUCGUAGGCGGUUCGUCGCGUCCGGUGUGAAAGUCCAUCGCUUAACGGUGGAUCCGCGCCGGGUACGGGCGGGCUUGAGUGCGGUAGGGGAGACUGGAAUUCCCGGUGUAACGGUGGAAUGUGUAGAUAUCGGAAAGAACACCA
rnacentral:rRNA from 1 species